GGCCCAAUGGUCUAGAAGUAUGAUACUCCCUUCGGGUUCGACACCCGCUUAUGAUGUAUAUAAGCUGUGCUGGGAGUGGUCCCGGGUUCAAUUCCCGGUUGAGCCC